rnacentral:rRNA from 1 species
GUUCAGAGUACGUGAAACCGUUCAGGGGUAAACCUGAGAAACCCAAAAGAUCGAAUGGGGAGAUUCAUCGUCAGCGCAUUUUGUAUAUGUAUAAGUUAUGAUGCGGGUUACUCUUGUAGUAUUGCCUGUACAUUCUUGUACAUUUUGUUGCAAGAUGUUGUCGGCGUGCACUUCUCCCCUAGUAGGACAUCGCGACCCGUUGGGUGUCGGUCUACGGCCCAAAUGGUAGCCUUUAAUGUUUCAAUACAUUGAAGACCUUUGGUGUUUCCUGACCGACUGCUUGGCGGUACUCGUACGGUAUUAAGCCGCAUAUUAAUUAUAUGCGUCCAUACCCGUCGCAAGCGAGAUUAAUUUUUGGUAGUACGGACUCAGUGCCGUCGCUGAAAUUAAUCAGCUGUUGGUUGUACGGUGUUCUAGGACUGGCUAAAAUUAUAUUACCGGUCGGCGAUGCUACUGCUUUGGGUACUUUCAGGACCCGUCUUGAAACACGGACCAAGGAGUCUAACAUGUGCGCGAGUCAUUGGGAUUUUUAAAAAAUUAAACCUAAAGGCGUAAUGAAAGUAAAGGUUGUCCUUGCGUCAACCGAGGGAGGAUGAGUUGUAUUAAAAAUACAGCUUCGCACUCCCGGGGCGUCUCAUUCUCAUUGCGAGAAGAGGCGCACCUAGAGCGUACACGUUGGGACCCGUACUCUUGUAGUAUUUGGUAGCGUUGGUUGUAUUUUUAAAAAAUU